AAUACAGAUUAACAGUCUUUAACACAAAAGCAAUAUGUGCAGAACUCUUACCUAUGAUGUUGUUGUGCUGCACUUCUCAAAUUCUGCAAAUGAAAAUGAAAAACUUGACCAUCCAACAUCAUUCUGCAAAUGAAAAACUUGACCAUCCAACAUCAUUCUGCCAAUGAAAAACAUAAAGCAACAUGCGUCAGUCAUAAUCCAUAAGGAGAAUGUGACAAAUGCAAUAAUGAAAAAUAGGCAUAUAUAGGCAUAUAUAAAUCACUGUUGUACUCUGCAAUAUGAAGUAAGUGGCUGAAAAAGAAUCAUCCACUAGAAAGACAUUAAUAAAUUUAUACAUGAAUAAUAAGUGUGCACAACUAGGGGGUUAUCAAAAGCAUAAAAAGUGUGCACAACUACUACACAAACCCUCAUUUAGAGGGACUCGGAUCCUCUCUUAAUAUUUUUGUGCUAAUAUUGCCUCAUAAGGCAAUCUCAGCCAUCAAUUCUUAAUGAAUGGCUGGGAUGUCUGUAGUUUUGUUUUUUGAGAUAUCUCAUCUAUCCCUUCUCUUCUCUAAUUUCUCGUCAAAAGUUAGUCCUCAAGAGAAGCUCUUUGUCACACCUUAAUUUUCGAAGGAUAAAUUUUUAAAAAUUUGGGCAUGAUAUAUCUUAAAAUCUUAAUAUCCCAAAAUCUGCUCAACAACUAUCAAAUUAAAAACAAAUACUGGAAAUGUAAAUGUCAACAAACUCAACCACUGAGUUAAACAUUAUAUUUCCUUAAUUACAUCAACUUCAAAAGUCUAGUAAUAAUAACGUCGCUCACAUGAGCUUAAAGCCAAAUUAAGAAAAUAUACAAAUCAUUGUACAUUGUCUAAAACCCAGCUCCUAAGCCACCGCUUCAACCCUGCUGAUCAUCACCAGCAGGUCUAACCCCUACAGCAUGAAUUGGUGCACCAAACCCGGUAAACUAAAAAGCCCGUAUGAGUAACUCCCAAAAUAACUCAACCCAACAACACACAAAAUAAAACCGGAAAUUCCUGCUUAGAACUUAGUUCAAGAAUUGCCUCAAACAAUAAAAUUCAAAAUAGAGUAAAUAAGAAAGCAUAACAAUUCACAAAACAAUCAAUCAUAAGUGAAUCCUGCAAAAAGAUAGUUCAGGAAUUCCACUAAAAAUCACACAAAAAAGAUUAAAGAGUCUCCUACAUUAAGCAUAGUUCAGGAGAUACUCAAAACAAGGAAGAUUAAUUGACAACAAUUAAGAACAAGUUAAAAUCACAGAACCAACACUUUACAAAAAUACAUGUACCUAUGAGUCCUAGAUACCAAUAAGGUAUCUCCCAUGACCUACAACAAACAUAUGUACCCAUCAGUCCCAGAUAUUAAUAAAUACCUCUCAUGACCUACAACAACCACUACUGGAAAAUAGCACUUAGGCGACGGAAUUAAAAAAUUCUGUCUCCUAAGUGGUACUUCAGCGACAGAAUUUUCUAUUUAAGCGACGAAACAGUUUCUGUCUCCUAAGAACGACUUAGGCAAUGGAAUGAAAUUUCGUCGCUUAAGUACUACUUAGGAGACGGAAUAUUUUAACUUAGACGACGGCAUUUUGAAAAAAUAAAAAUUAAAAAAUUAUAUGAAUCACUUAGGAGACGGAAUGUUUAAAAAAACAAAAAUUAUGAAUCACUUAGACGAUGGAAAUAGAACAUUCCGUCGCUUAAAUUCUAAAAUUUUGAGCGCCCAUCUUCCCGCUUAAAAUUUCAUGAAAAUUCAAACCAAAAUUUUUCAAA
rnacentral:lncRNA from 1 species